AGCUGAACAUUUUUAUCAAUUCGAAGAGAUUAUUUUUAAUAUACUCUGUGGGAUUUGGGGAAGGUUGAAGAACACUGGUAUAUAUGAAAUGGUUACCAUAUUGUUUUACAAAUAAUAAGUCUUCAGUAAGCAUUUAUUUUUCUUCUUCUCCCUGUCCUCCCUCUCUUCGUCCUUGUCAUGACACGAAUCUGUUUGAAAUGGUGUGCAGGCAUUUUUUCCCCCUGCUUUUGGUAGUUACGGCUCUUAUUUUGUUUCACAUGUUGCUAAUUUGCUAGAACUUCAAAAAGAGUUUUAAAUAGCAGGGGCUAUUAAUAAUAGUCAGUUUAAAGAAGCAUCUUACAAUUCCUGGUUUCCCAAAAGAAUUUUUUUCCAGGAGUAUAUUUUUAAUUUUAUCAUAUUUUUUUCUAAGUGUCUUUCUGGAUCUUUUGAUAUGAUUCAUUAUAUGUAUGUAUUUUGGAAUAAUCUAUUGUCCUUAAAUUUUUACUUGGUCACAGGGUAAUGUAUUUUUAAUGUUUUAUUGAUUUGGGUUUGUAAGUAUUUUGUUUAGAGUGUUGGCCUCUCUCAUAUAAGUAAAAGGGCCUAGGUCUUUCUAUCUGUUUUAGGUUUUCAUGUUAGAGUGACGUUAACUUCAAAAGGUGAACGGAGAGACUUUGUGACCGCCUCUGGUGUCCUGAGGUCUCUCUGUCUCCUGCACUUCAGUCAAUGACACGAUCAUAUACCCAGUUAUUCAAGCAACUUAGGAGUUACCUUGGUCCAUCAAAUAUAAAAUACCAUGACUCUUAAACUAGAUCAUUAGUCUGUGUGCCAGUCAGAAAGGAGGAAAAUGAAGCCUGUCGAACUGUGACCCAAAGGCAUCUUGUCACUUAGCAUUUUUCUUGCAUAGUGAUUAAAAACUUGUUUAGAUCUCUUAGAAACACAGGUUGAAAGAAUCCGAUGUUACUGUAUGUAACAAAUAAGAAUGUAUGUAAAAUAAAUGUAAGGAUUUCCUCAUUUCUUUCACAUCCUGGAGCCACAGUCUCCUGGGUCUCCAGACCCCAUGUGGUUGUGGUCCACACAACACCAUCAUCCAAUCAAUGGUGCGCAGGUGAGUCAUAGCCCACCGUUGUCUCCGGGCGUUUCCCCAGCUCCUGGAGGCCUUCUGCGAGUAGGCUGUGCAGCCCUGGCAACAGCAGCCGCUCUGUGCCUGUGCCAGACACAGUCAUUUCAGAUGCACGGUGACUCCAGAGGUGGUAAAAUUGGAGAAAGAUCAUGUCUUAGUAUGAACGAACCAUGCUGUCUGAUUUCUCUCUUCCUCACCCUCCACAUCCAAACUGUUAGUGAGCAAGUGCUUUCAAUUCUGUCUCAAGUAAUUUAUAGUGUGUAGUUCUCGUAUCUGCUUAUUUCUGUCCAUCCCCACUGUUGCACCCUUGGUGUGGUUGACCGUGAAUGUCAUCUGGAUGAUGCCAACCCUCUAAGUGGCUCCCUGUCUCCGCCGCCCCCCCCAGCCCUAAAGUCUCAUCUUCACAGGGCACCACAAGUUUCCUUAAACUCCUUCCCAUGGCCCUCGGGCCACUCCAUGUCUGGUCCCUUCGUAAAUGCCAUAUUUUAGUUUCUCAGAUAUGCCAACCUUCAUCCAACUUUCACAUAUGCCUUUUUCUCAGCCUGAAAUGCUUUCCCUCACAUUCCUCCCAUUCCCUGGGUGUCAGCCUGAAUGUCGUUUCUCCAGAGACGUCUUCCUGAUGUGCCUACUGAACUUUUGUGCACUUGCUUUUGAUAGGGUCUAUUCCCCAAAGCAUCUCAGGAAUAGUUUGUGGGUAGUAUUUUCUCAACGUGUGCGUCCUUGAGAAUGUCUUUUGAUCGUCUCCUGUCAUGAAUGACAGUGAGGCAGAGGGCAUGGCAUGGGCCAGAGUUUCUCUCCAACCUCAUCAUCUAUGUGGUGUGGCUCAGCUUGACAAGGGAAGUAUAAUCCCAACCCUGUGGUCUGGAGCUGCCAAGCUGUGAAACACACAGUCCAGUCCACUGGCUGGUCAGUGACUAAUUAAGCCGUCUUUCUGAGUAACUUGAAGUAAGAGAUGUAAAGAAGAUGGUUAUUCUGUGGUUGAGGUUUGAUCUGCAAAGCCACAUGGAGUUAGCACCAGGCAAGAAAGCAACAACAGGUGAUGGAAGCCAGAGGAGGGGUGGUAGAGAGAAGCAGACCAGCCGGAGGAGCAGGUUGACAGCACGUGUCUUUGAAAAGGAGGCAGGGCGGGACGGAGGCCAAGAAACCCAGAGGCACCGCUGCAUCAAGGACUUUAAUUCUCUUUUUCAUCAGAAACAGCAACUUGUUUGAGUUCUACCCCGGAUACACACGGUAUAUGCGUGUACGUGUGUCCAGGCACCUGUCCGCCCGCAUAGUCUCCUCUUGUCUGUCUCCUGAACUUCACACGUUUGAUAUUCAAAUAUCCUGCAAUACAUUCUUUAGGAGCUUGGCCAGAGGGGUUUCUCAGGGCCCGUACAUACCCAGCAUGCAUGUGGUUGGGUCAUGCUCUCUCUAGCCUGUUUGAUAGUCCUCAGCUAGGAGCCCUGCUAGGUCCUGUGAAAACCAGCUCAGGAGACGAAAUCAUCCUGCCCCUCCUAACUCUCUCUUCUUCACAACUAUCACUUUCGAGUGAUGCCCACACCGCCGCUCCUACUCCUGUCCCUGCCCUCCUGUGUCUUUGUGAGAGACCACACUACCAGAAUGCAGGGCCCCUGUGUCCUGCCUUGUCCCAGCCUUUUCCAGGAAGAUGCGUGGCCUUUGAUCUGAGUUGGAGUCAAAAGGCAGUGAUGGCCAUGAGCACAAUGCUGGAGAGGAUUUAGCAGUAGGACCUCCGGAACGAAGGCCUUCUUGGCCUCGGGAUGCUGUGGACUCUGCUUCAGAGCUGGAGGCCGACGCCAAGGGCAGACACCGUCUUCCUCUGUCCUCGGCAGACAAAGCCAGCAUUGCCAGCCGAAAAGCCAGUGUUUUCCACUGACUUUAUUCUUUUCUUCAUCUAUGUUGAUUCCCUUUGGAGUUAGUGGCCAUUCCUCCGAUACUGAGAACAGAUUCACUCAGGUUAACUGCUGGUCCUGUUGGUUGUUUUGCGAAUGUUCUUUUAGUUUUCAUCCUUCUACGCAUUUUCACGGGUACUUUGGCGGUGACUGCAAGAGCUGUGUCCGGGGCUGCCGCGGGGUUAUCAGGUAAGCCCCAGGCCCCAGACUGUCCAAAGUGCACCUGAUUCCUCGCAGAACCUGGCAGAUCUAUGCCCUUCAGAAUCCAAGUUUAGCCAAGGAAUCUGCUCACAAUCCUGUGUAUUCAUUUCACAAGCUGGGAGCCAUCCUGAAAGUAUGUAGACAUUUUAAAAUAGUUCUCUCUUAUUUAGAAAAAAAAAGUCUGCUUUCAUUUAAAGAGUCUCCCUUUUCUUCUUGUUUCAUAUAAACCAACACAAUUGGUUUUGUAAUGCAAAUGUUUCUUUGUUCUUCCAAGAAAUUGUAGAGGAUACGAUAUCUCAACUUCUAAAACCUUGCAUAGCAUCAAUGCAAAAAUUGCACUGGCCACAGUUCGACAUGGAAGGAAGACUUCGUUCAAGGCUCCUGCAACAGAAAGGGGGCCAGGACUCGUUCUGAGCUGAACUCCCCUGAAACAAAGGCUAGACAGAUUUAAGAGCUAGGGUGGGGGUUCCUUGGCCACACGUGUUCAUCAGCUGGGCUUUCCCCAAGGAAAAAUGAACGUGCUCAAGUCAGAAGGUAGUUUUACAGCUCAGUCAGGUGCCUCUGACUUUGGCUCUUGUCUUCCCACAGAGCCUGGGGGAUGGGGGAGCUAUGUUCCUUGAUGAUGACAUUUCAAAGGGACCCAAGUCCCUGAAAAAGGCAGCCCCAGGUUGUAAAACAGACACGAGGCUUUUAAAAAGAUUAUGUCUCAAAGGGGCAUUUGCAAUUAUAAGUUUUUUUUAAAACGUAAAUGCUGAACGGGUACCUGGGUGGCUCAGUCAGUUGAGCUGCUGACUCUUGAUUUUGGCUCAAGUCAUGAGCGUGGAGCCUGCUUGGGAUUCUCUCUCUUUCAGGGUGCCUGGGUGGCUCAGUUGGUUAAGCAUCCGACUCUUUUCUUUUUUUUACAUUUAUUUAUUUUUGAGAGACAGAGACAGAGCAUGAGCAGGGGAGGAACAGAGAGAGAGGGAGACACAGAAUGUGAAGCAGGCUCUAGGCUCUGAGCUGUCAGCACAGAGCUCGACACAGGGCUUGGACUCAGGAACCGUUAAGAUCAUGACCUGAGGCAAAGUCAGGUGCUUAACCGACUGAGCCACCCAGGCACCCCUAAAAACCUUAUUUUUAUUUUGCCUUUAACAGGGCAUAUAAUAUAAUGAUUAAAGUAGUUAUUACUUGAUGUAGAACAUGAUUAUUUUUUAAAAAUUCUUUUUAAUGUUUAUUUUUGAAAGAGAGAGAGAGAGGUGGGGGGAGGGUCAGAGAGAGAGGGAGACACAGAAUCUGAAGCAGGUCCCAGGCUCUGAGCUGUCAGCACAGAGCCCAACAUGGGGCUUGAACUCACGAACCACAAGAUCAUGACCUGAGCCGAGGUCCCCCACUUAACCGAUUGAGCCACCCAGGCACCCGAGCAUCCAAGUCUUGAUAUUGGCUCAGGUUAUGACCUCACCAUCAUGAUAUUGAGCCCCAGGUUGGACUCUGCAUUGACAGUGAGGAGCCUGCUUGGGAUUGUCUCUUUCCCUCUCUCCCUCUGCCUUCCUCCAUUCUCACAGUUCUCUCUCUGUCUCUCAAAAUAAAUAUAAAUAAACUUAAAAAAAAGAUUCUAUCUCUCUUCCCUCUACCCUUCUCCCCUGCUUGUGUUCUCUCCCUCUCUCUAAAAAAUAAAUAAGUAAAGAUAAUACUCAAGAGGGAAGAGGAGGGCAGGGCAGGGCCUAGAGCUUGGAAGGAGCCUGUGUGAAGGCUGGUCAAGCUGAGGGGAACAGCAAGGCCACCUUGGUCAACAGGGAAUCAACAAAUGAAAGGGCUGAGAGAUGAUGGCGAAUUCCCCACUUUGGGGUAUGUGUGUGCGUGUGCGUGAGUGUAUGUGUGUUUUCCCCGUGAGCCACAACAGCCACCCGGCUUGUAGAUCUGUGGGAUGCUUCUCUCUGUGGCACUGCCCCUGGGCACUUUGUGCUCCGGGUGUCAGGUAACAAAGCCUCGGGUGGCCCUUUAGGCUGAAGACAGGAGAGCUGGGACACGAAGAGACACUUCAGAGCCCAAACCUAGUGUUGGCUCAGUGGCUGUCCAUCAGGGCUAUUCCUGGGGCCACUGAGGGGUGAGCGGCCUCAUGGGGAAGGCGCUGCCAGCUCGCCCUGUGCUGUGCCUUCUGUGCUGUGCGUGUCACCUGCUCAGAGCUCCAGCUCCACGGCUCUUCCAGAAGCCCUGACCUCUGGGUCUCCUCCCAGAUGUGUGUCGGGCAAGCUGGGGCACGCGGAUUUCCCCAGGUAGCUUCUGCAGGUGCGGGGGGGACCGUGGUGCCCAGGCUGUUAGAAGAAAGGCGACCUGGAAGGGAGGUGACAGGAAAUCCAUGGAGCUUAGUAGGUCAGUUGUAAUUAAGAAGGAGCUUCCCCCUUAUCUGUUUUUUCCAGACCAUCUCAAACAUCUUCCUGAGAAUAAACAGACCUUAUCUGUAAUACAAUCUGACAGGCUGUUAAUACACAGAGAGUGUGAUGUGAUAUCAGUCGGGAAGGAGGUUUGCAGUUGACGAGAGUUUCUUUUUUCCCAAAGCCACUUUCUGUUGUGCGACCCAGGAUCCCUCCAGUCACACAAAGGCAGCUGCUCCUUAAGGGGAAGUGAGCCAGCUCUGCUGUGCCCUCAUCUGGAGGGUCUGUGCAGUUAGGCUGGUGUGGUGGCCUGGGGACAGGGGACCUGGGCGGCCAUGAGGGAACCCCCUGAUUGCACGGAGCCUGUUCCUGUUCCGAGGAAGGCAGACUCCCGAAGACCGAGAAGAGGCUCCAAUGUCUGUCGGGAUUUCCUUGGGCCGGAGGCCUGGUUGGUGGGAGCACAGCCCUGGUCUGUGUGUGAAUCACACCCCCCCCCCCAGGGUGGCCCUGGCCCCCCUCUCCUCCUUACAGCAGAGUGUCCCCCCCCACUUCCUGCAGCCUGGAAGCCUGGGUGUGGGACUCACCUUCCACAUGGGACAAUUGUGGUUUCCCAGGGCUCCCUGCUCACUUCUGUUGUCCCCCGUGUAUUACAAGUGGAUGUCCUGGGUGCACCCCUUUCUUGUGGUAUUGAGAACCCCAGAUGCCCCUGUAUCACUCCCUGAAGAGUCACCUUUAGAGCCCAAGAAGGGGGUCCUUGCUGGUGCUUCAAGAAAGAAAAGUUUUCUGAUGUCUUGUGCAAGAUGGUGAUUUCUGUGGCUCUUCUAAAGCCAGCUGGAAUCUUACCUCCUGAUGGAGAUGGUAUUGCCGUGGUCCCACCCGUCAGAUCUAGAUCCCCUGGGAGGCUUUCAUUUAUAUGUUGGCACUAACCAUGUGUCUUCUCUUAGGGGGGGGUGUGUGCCUCUAAAUCCUGAACCCACAGAAGUUGGGGACUGUGUCUUAAUUUUCUUCAUAUGCUUUAACAUAGUGAAUGUUUAAUAAGCAAGCAUUGAAUUAUUGUUCAACGGAGUUUACAGUCUUCCUGGCUCUGAAGAGAAAAAUCACGCUAGCUAUAUUCCUUGUGGAACCUUCUUCCGAGAGUAACACUUCUUCCUAGGCCAUUGCUCCAGGGUGUUGCUGGUGAAGCUUGUGCGUAGGAGUAGGUAAGACCCCGGAGGGAUUCUUCUUGUUUACUUUAGCGAGAGUAUUAAUUCCCAACAUGACCUACAAACCUAUCGUAAGAGUUAAUAUUGAAAAGAUACAAAGGUGUUGUCAAAAGUCGAUUUUAGGGGAGCGGCUCUGUGGACGGUGAUGCUGGUGGAGAGGGGGCUGCUGUGAUCCAGGUCACAGAUGUUGGUGGCCUGAACCUGGGUGGUAGCAGCUGGGAGGAGAGGUUGAUAGGGAGCAACCAGCUCGGUUUGUUCCUGGAGGAGAGGAAGUGAGUUCUCCCUCCUACCACAAGUGCUUCUGCAACCCGGGUUGAUGGCGGGACCACCUGCUAAGCCACGAAACGUGGGAGGAGAAAACUUGGGGGGGGGGAAAUAUUUGAGUUUUUGACUCUUGAUUUAAAGAUACCGUGAGACAUCCCGGUGGAAAAGUACUUCUCUUCUUGGGCGGGUGUCUGGAAGCUUCAGGACAAAGCCUGGCUGACGACAGACGUGUGUGUGAGUCACCAGCAUCUAUAUGCAAAGAGCCCUUGAUGAGGGAGGUCUGGUUCUAUGUCAAAGGUUUCAUUCACUGGUCAACUGAAAAAUAAGAAAAAUGAACAUAAAUUAUUAACAUUUAAUAAAGCUAAUUUAAAAGAAUGUGCUUUAUUCUACGAUCAGGACCUUCCCUAAUACUUGUUAUUAAAAUGUCUUGGAAAAACUAAAACCUGGUAUUCAUAUUUUGGCUCCCUAGGGAUUAUAGUUUGAUUUUCUGUUUCAUCCUAUGGGAAAUUAGUAGGCAUGUAUGGAGGGUUUAAAGCAGGGAGUGGCAGAGAGCGUGGGUGGUUCAGUUGGGUUGAGCGAGUGUCUGACUUCAGCUCAGGUCAUGAUUUCAGGGUUCGUGGGUUCGAACCCCACGUCGGGCUCUAUGCGGACAGCUCCGAGCCUGGACCCUGCUUCGGAUUCUGUGUCUCCCUCUCUGUCUGCCCCUCCCUUGCUCACGCUGUCUCUUUCUCUCUCUUUCUCCCUCUCAAAAAUAAACAUUAAUUUUUUUUUAAAAGAAUAAGGCAAGGAGUGGCAUGACAUAUAAAGCAUAUGAGAGUGGAGAUUCUAUCCACUAUCCCCCACUUGAACCCACCAGAUUACCAGGUUAAUUCGUACAGCAGAGAGAUUAAUUUUAGGUUUUCCUUGCAGACAUGGUCCUUCACCCGGCCCCAAGCUGCUCAGUCCGCACCUGUUACCACUAUGGCGGGCUUGAAGCAGAUAGAAGCACUUAGGUCAUUUUUGGUUGUAACAAACGUAGGUGCCAGAGCCAAUCUUCUGCUGAGUUAGAUCUGACACACCUUAGAGGAAAAUCUAUUUGGAAACGUAAAACACGUUUUUAAUUCGAUUAAUUACAUUGUAUUAGACGCGAUUAUCUUCUCCUUUGACUAACAGUGUUCCAACAUCUGCACCAAUGUGGGAUCGCUAACUCUGGAAACGACAGACAUUGUUUCUCUCGUUUCCAAAAUGUAUGGCACUAAAAGUAGCUUGGAAGUUUCCAGAAUUUUCUUCUGCGGUUCAUUCAUUCCCAACGCAUGGGUACACCCCUAAAAUGAGCGUGGGCGGUCUUUUCGUGCUUUGCCCCUGAAGUCUGGCGGGUCUGCUACCAGGUUCCUCUGGACCCUUGGUCACCUCGGGAAGCGAUGUGCUGUUUGUGAAGGCGUUUUCUGGAGAAAGUGCACUUAUCACCAUAAAUUCAGUUUUACAUGACUCCUAUAGCAGGAAAUUUAAAUAGCUGCUUUCUCCUCAUGAUCCUUUCUUUUUUCCUGCUGAUGCUUUGCACAGUCUGUUGAUUACAAGGAGCUUGUUCCUAAAAUAAGACGCUAAACCACUGAAUGGCAAAGGAACACAUUGAACAAAAGUCCUCGUAAAUCCUGUAUGAGUUUAGCGAAUGCCUGCUCCAUUUUAACAUGGAGACAGACAGAAUGACAAAUUAGAUGCCAAGUAGGCAGAGACAUAUUCUGAUACCAAAUGCUCCAAGUGCUGACGACAUUUUCCUAGUGUUUCUGUAAUCCUUAAUGUUAGGAGGAUUCUAUCAAUUUUUACUGCAAAUUAAAGGGCAACAGGGCACCGAUCAGUGUUUCCCUGGUGGAAAAAUGGGGUCACAGGUUGUACUUCCAGUAAUACACCGAAGGUGACAUGGCCCAGCCCAGAAUGUCAGCCACAUUUCAGCAUAUAUGGGAAUACUCCAUUCAAAUGACUUUGAUGACAUCUAGCCUACUCCACACUAGAUCCUAUGGGGAUUGUUGAGCUUAUGUUGGUGAAUGGGAAACUAUUCUUACCUUGAAGAAAGAGAAUGUUUGCUACUGGAAAUAAGCAAGAUAGAAUUGGGCGUAGCAUAUUGUGAAAUGUCCCAAACUUGCUGAAUAUAAGCAAAUAUGAAGAAGGGGCUAUUUUCUUUUUCUGGGGCCAAAACAUCUGACUUGAGCUUCUAAGUUUGUAUAGAGGGAGCCAGGACAUAAGAGUCAUGGCAGGCAAAGGAAACAGCAGCCUGAGUUUUCUGGUCCACAUAAAAAGAUUCGGAAAGUGUCUCACACUGUAACAUGUCAUUUGAAGAAAGGAUUCCACUGCUAAUAAAACCACUGAUUUAGGGGAACUCGGUACAUUCCAGACUUGGAUGGAGUGAAUAAAAAGGACUUUCUCUAUGAUCUGGUUAUCAUUUCUUCCAAUAUUGAAGAGAGAGGGAAAGACUAAAUAAGAAUCUGUCCUGACACAUGGACUAAGAAUUCUAUAACUCAGGGUUUAGAGCAGCAGUUUGAAUUCUCUGCAACUGUCACAAUCUCAGAAAGUGCAAUCAAGCUAAAUUUGGUCUUGAGACUCUCUGCUAGUCUUAUAUUUCAGGCAGAAAAAAUGCGGUGCAGAUAAAGACAGAAGUAGUAAAAACGUAUUUUGGAAUUUACGUAGAGGCAUAUUUAGUUUUCUGGCAAGUAGUGUUGGGUUUAACUGCUCUGUUUAUCACUAAAUAUUUAAAUCAAUGUUGUAUGUCUCUGAGCAGAUGUGACAAAUCUGUGGCGAGUACAAGAGAAUGUCUUUUAUUGCAUUGUAACAAAUCCAAGGGGUGAUGGUCCAGGUACGUCGGCUCUGGCUUGGGGUAAAGUGCGAGGAUGGUGUGAUACGGUGAGAGUGUGACACAAUACAGGGGAGAGACACAGCACAGGAGCCAGAGUCAGACAGCCCUGGUUGGGGCUUCUGACCCAGCCACUUACCAAAAACACAUCUAACCAGCGAGCACGACUCAGAGAUCACCUUGUAAGUGGAUGCCUUGUUAAGAUGCCGUAAGCAUUAAAUGAGAUUGUAGGAGAAAUGAGUUUGUCUCUUUGCCUUGGUGGGAAGCAGUCUGAAAUGAAGUGUAUAACAUAUUUCUGGUUGAUUAGCAAACAAGAAGAUAUAAAGAAUAAAUAGGGGCACCUGGGUGGCUCAGUUGGUUGGGCGUCUGACUUCGGCUCAGGUCAUGAUCUCACAGUAUGUGGGUUCGGGCCCCGCAUCAAGCUCUGUGCUGAUAGCUCAGAGCCUGGAGCCUGCUUUGGAUUCUGUGUCACCCUCUCUCUCUUUGCCCCUCCCCUGCUCAUGCUCUGUCUCUCUCUCUCAAAAGUAAAUAAUAAACAUUCAAAAAAAAAUUUUUAAUAAUGAAUAAUUAAAUAAACCUUUUAGGAGCAAAUUGUGCUUGAUUAUAUUAUUUUCUAAAGAUGCCCAGUUCUCUUCCCCCAAGGGGGAGGACUAUGCUUCUCUGCCACAGAGAUGUUGGCCUGGUCAUGGAACUUGUUCUGGAACGUGCAUGACUGAAAAAUGAUGGAUGGAGCAGAGGCUUUAAAUGUGCUUGUGUGGUUUGGUUUGUUGUUUUUUUCCUCCUGUUUUCUGCAUGCAAAGAUCAUGUCCUAGGUACCUUCCUCUCCCUCACCCUGGAUUGUGGAAUGGGGCAGACAGAAAACAGGCCUGAACUCUGCUCAUACCCUGGAGCGUGGCCUCCAGUCGAACCACAAAGCCACAAAGAUCAUGGCACAUUUCAUACUCUGUAAGAAUGUGUCCGAAGACAAGGCUGGCUAUAGCUUUCGAGAAGUCAUGUGACAAUUUUGUGGCAGGUCCUGCGAUGCACCUAUGGCAGAGGCAGUAAGCAUCCUCAUCCAUCCAUAUGCUUCUUGAGUACCCACUCUGCCUGUGGAAUUAUACCGGAGUACUUGAAUGCUGGUGAGUUUUUAAAUCUAGACGAAUAAACACCAACACAGUAUGGAAAGAGAAGUAGGAUUAUUGGGAUCUAAUUUGGGAAGCAAGCACGUAAAAGAAUCAUUCAUAAGAUGCUGGGUGAAGUGCAGCUCCCACGCAGGUAAGAGGCGAUAUACCGAAGCAGAGAACCGUACUCCUAGCAGGUGGCUUGUGGAAGGAGGAAUCAGUGAGCAUUCUGAGCCCGGGUGCCACUGAUAGUUCUGAGGCUCCAGCGCAGGCCAGUGAGAAAGCGCUGGUGCGACAGCAUCCUGAUUCAGUUCAUCUCUGAGAACGGAGAGUUGGGAGAACUUGAACCACAGAAAGCCAUUUUACACGUCUUUCGUUCCAACUGUCUUUGUAAACUCAUAUGUAAAUCAAAUCACCGCGAAGAAAUGGACCCCCUUUUGUAGCGGUGUAUGUUUGAGACGUUUUGGUGUUCUGGUCCACUGGCAUGUCCUCUCCUGACAGGUCACAAUAAUGCUUUUCAAAAUAAUACCUGGCAGGUACGUGUCAGUUUGUGAUAGUCAGGGUGUACUCAAAUCCAUUCACUCCUUUGGUCUUUGCGGCUAGCAUGCCUUAUUUUAACAUUCAUUCAGCAAGCAUAGGCUGUGCGUUUGUCAUGCGGCAGGUGAGUUACUUGAUGGCAUAAAUGACAUAAAUAUAAAAAGAGACAUAGUCUCAGCCUCCACCAAAUGUUCAGCUUCAUGGUCAAAAUUCACAACACUAGUAUACGACAGACACAAAUCUUAGAAAUCAAAAACGUUUAACAGAGACACUAAAUAAAAUCUUGCAGACUUAAGCAGGCAGUGAAUAUUAUAACUUAGGUUAAAACAUUGACUCUUGAUUGAGUACUCUCACUAAGAUAGCCUAGUGUUAAUACCAUGUUUUUUAAAAAUAUAAAAUGUAUGUUUUGAAGAAUAUACUUUUGACAAAGACUAAAUAUGUUUUCAAUGCCACUUAGUUAUUUUAGGGGGGGGAAGUAAAAAACAAAAACAAAACCAAAACCCUUUUGUCAAUGAACCUUCAUGAGCCAAGGCAAAAACAAAGAUGUAACAGUGAAAAGCUGUCUUUGCCUCUGGUCAGAAAGAAGGAGACUGAGUACUGACCAGAGACCUUUAAUGGGGAACAACAUGACUGCAGCAUUAACCAGGGGGCUAGUGUGCAGUUCGGGACCACAGUGACCCCUUUGUGUGUCUUGCCCUUCAUGUGAUAGUUAGAACUCACAUUCUGGACUUGAAAGCUGGGGUCAGCUCUUAGAGUCUGGGAUCUUAGGAAAGUGUCUUAAGCGUCGUAAGCUUGUUUUAUUGAUUGCCCUUUGAUGUCGUGCCAGAUCCCAAUAAGGAACAGAAAGUAAACCAAGUCAGUGAUUCAAUGUUGCCAUGAUUGAAGGUAUAAUAAUCAGGCAUCUAGAAAGUAGCACAACUUGGCGGCAUUUUGGAAACUCUUGUAAGAACAAUUGAUUAUGGGAACAACAUCAAAUACCCAGUUAUCCAAGGAUACAGGUGCCCGUGGGCCUAUGAUACUGCAAUUCAUUUUGAUUGCCUUGAAUAGUGAGGCUAGCUUAAUAUAUUGACAUUAAUUAAAAAACCAAAAACAAAAAAAUAUAGACCGGGUAUACAGCCAAACAUGUCUAAGAGUUACAAUUCCAAGCUUAAAAAUUUUUAUUAGAAAUAUCCAUGCUAGGGGCAACUGGGUGGCUCAGUUGGUUAAGCGUCUGACUUCAGCUCAGGUCACGAUCUCACAGUUUGUGGGUUCGAGCCCUGCGUUGGGUUCUGUGCUGACAGCUCAGGGCCUGGAGCCUGCUUGGGAGUCUGGGUCUCUCCUUCUCUCUGCCCCUUCUAUGCUCAUGCUCUGUGUCUUUCUGUUUCUCAGUAAUAAAUAAAUGUUAAAAAAAGAAAUAUCCAUGGUAAAUUCUGUCUAAUUUGUGCUACUUAAGCAGCAUGUUACUAAAUCAUUCACAGGUAGACCAAAAACUGAGUUUCACCUGGUAACAGAAAAGUACAUUGAGCUCAGUCCGCAGUCAGAGUGGCUUUUUGUUGACGUCAGAUCUGCUAGAGGAAAAAGGAUAUCUCUGAAAAUACAAGAAUCUUGGUUGCUUCUUGGUCCUGGAGAUUUUCGAGGUCUGAUCUAACCUCAGUCUUCUCUACACCCACCACUAAGGUCUUCACCCUGCUUUCAAGCAGCCGAGACAACUCGGCAAAAUGGUCCUGCAGCAAAUAAAUCCAUUGUCAUUGUUGCAUUUGUGGUGUCUUUCCACUCAGCACGAGGAGGCGGCCAUGGUGACCUUGUGCACCAUGGUUUCAGCAGCACGGAAUCUAAUGCUUGGCACAGGAAGCAGUUAUAACUGUUACUGAACAUUAUCCACGCCACUUUCCCUAUUGUCUUUAUUUCCAACAAUGCUGGUUUGCAUGAAUUCUCUUUUUCUUAAUUGCCGGCAGACAACUCUUAGCAUCUGUUACACCGUCCGGGUCAGGCCAUCACACUGGUGAUACAUCCGUUCGCCGCUUGUGACCUCAGUUUCUUUCCCUUCUUUCCUCUUAGAGGCCUCCCCUCCUCUUUAGAGCUAACCCGUUGUCGGAGCAAAUGCAGACUUUUAACUAAGAGGCUAAUACUCUGCUGAAAAUAUGAGGAGAGAUUUACUACGUCCCGUUUUUAGAGCUUUUACCGUAGAAAACUCGUAAGCAGUUUUCCUGUCUCUUUACAAUGUAUGGAGAUCUUUUUUAAAAAUGGGUGGUUUAGUCGGUUAAGUGUGUGACUCUUGGUUUCAGCUCAAGACAUGAUCUCAUGGUUUGUGAGUUUGAGCCCUGCAUCAUUUGAGUCUCUGUGCUGCUGGUGUGGAACCUGCUUAGGAUUCUCUCUGCCCCUCCCCUGCUCUCUCUCUCUUUCAAAAUAAAUAAAUACACUUAAAAAAAAAAAAACCAACCAUAGGAGAUAAAUGGUAUUAUGGAAACAAACAAACAACAAACAACUAAGUAAGACUCCAGCCAGCUUCAUGACCCAAGACUGUCUUUCUCAAAGACCCGGAAAUCACCCUUCCGAAAUGCAGCCAUCUCCCGGUGUCUGUGGGAGGGUAGGAGCCUAACUUUGGUGGGCUUCUUGCUCCAAGUUGCCAAACGACCUCCUGUUAUGAAGAUAGGAAGACAGAAGUUUAUUUUUCCUCUGCACAAAGCCAGUUAGCCAACGCGGACAAUCACCCCCAUUACCAGGUGAAUCUAGGAUGAGCUGUUUGUGACCAUGGUGUGUCGCAUCCUCUUCCUGGAGGACUAGUCAGUGUUUCUCUCGAGAACAUAUAUGCAAUGGGCUGUAUCUGCUUGGAUAUACAAAGGUGGGAUUUCUUUCAUCUUUGCAAUUUCCAGGGAGAUAUCUGUGAUGCAUAUAAUGUUCUGCCUUAAUAGUCACUCAAUUAUAAAAUUGUUUUCUUUCUCUUCUACCUUUGUGGAGAGGUUCCGAGCUUGUUGAAAGGUUUUAUUCUUAAUUAUAUUUCCCAAACAUGUAUGCCAUUGAGCCUAUCAGCAACCUCCUAGCAGGCAUCUACUUUAUGCCCGAUAAAUGCUACUUAUAUUAAUACCUGACUUAAUUUUUACAAUUUAUUGAAGCAGGUUUUCAUAAACCACCACUUUACAGUUGAAGAAACUGGGACAUUAAAAAAAAUACAUUAAGUAGUUUGUCUAAAGCCCGUUAGCUUUAACUGGCAAAACCACAGUUUGAAAUCCCUGCUGACCACAAACUUGUGCUUUUCAGCACUACAUUCUAUUUCUACAGUUCUCUCUCUUGAGACUUUGGUGCCUGCUUUUCAAAGACUGAGGUGUAGACUUACCUAUAGAACCUGAGAGAGACUGGAGCUCUUCAGAGUCACAGAGACUACCAGCCUGGGAUGUGGGAGGCACAUGACUGGGGCCUGAGGUCCUUGUUGGAACUUCCUAAGCAGGUGGGAGCGGAGGGUGGGUGUGUGUGAUUAGACAUGAGAUGCUGUGGUCAGCAAUUUCUAUCAUUAGUUCUCACAGGAGAGUGAUGAGAAGGAAGCUGCUAUUAUCCUCAUUUUGAAUAUGUAUGCGUUAGGCUUGUUACAGAACUCACAGAAGGUUGACCAGCUGGUAUGGAGCAAGCUAACCCACAUGUCCUUAAGACUAUUAAGGCAACAGCAACAGCAACAGCAAUAGCAUCUCCUACCUGGUCAUAAGAAUUGUAUCAGUACUUCUUAAAAAUACUGAACGAUCAGGACAUUUCACCGGAGAGCCCUGUUUAGUACUUUUGCCAAAUGCCCCUUGUGGGUCUCUAGUAAGUAAGUAGAGACGUCGGCCGCAGAGGGUUCUGAGAGAUGGGAGGUUGACGGAGUGGGGGUGCACACGGGGUUGUUGGAGCAGGUGGUGUUGACUUCCAAUAGAGUGGUCUUUAGAGUGACAGUGGUAGAACCAUCACGAAAAGUAAGGAAUCCUUUGGGUCCCUUUCUUAGGUGAUGAAUUUGGGAGCUUGGAGAGAACUUGUAUUGGAAAGAGAUGUGAGUGAGGGGUGGCCGCGUGGGAAAGAUGUUAGACGUGAGAUGUCUGCUGACUCUGCAGACCCAACUAGACCCCAAAUUCCAAGGUCUCAACCAAAGCAGCUUUCUCCUCUAUAAUUAACGAGAAGCCCAAUGAAUUAGCAAGCAACACAGGGUUAGAUCCUAGGGCAAAGAAGUGUGUCGUUAAAACAAGGGAAAGCAAAGCAGUUUAGCAUAGCCAUUGAAGGUGUGUUCCAGAAAAUCCAUGAGAGGUGAAUGAAAACAUGUAAUUCAUGAGCAUUAGCAAGAGUCUUCCUGAUACAGGAGUGCUGAUGCAUAGGGGCACUUGUACCCCAAUGUUUCUAGCAGCACUCUCAACAAUAGCCAAAUUAUGGAAAGAGCCUAAGUGUCCAUCAACUGAUGAAUUGAUAAAGAAAUUGUGGUUUAUAUACACAAUGGAGUACUACGUGGCAAUGAGAAAGAAUGAAAUAUGGCCCUUUGUAACAACGUGGAUGGAACUGGAGAGUGUGAUGCUAAGUGAAAUAAGCCAUACAGAGAAAGACAGAUACCAUAUAUUUUCACUGUUAUGUGGAUCCUGAGAAACUUAACAGAAACCCAUGGGGGAGGGGAAGGAAAAAAAAAAAAGAGGUUAGAUUGGGAGAGAGCCAAAACAUAAGAGACUCUUAAAAACUGAGAACAAACUGAGGGUUG